UAAAUUCGUCUGGUCAUCUAUUCCGCAUGCUCGCCAUUAAACUAAUUAAGGCUAUUAUUAGAUUAUAACUUGUCAGGUCGUUGUCCCCCAAUUACAGAGCUGGAUUCUAUCCUCAUCAUCCCGCUCUGGAUUUCCUUCCUUGGGGCAGACUUCUACUCUUUGGCUCCGCUCUGCUAAGUAGCUCCGCCUUCUGGCGAAUUGUCUCUGGCAUGUGGCUCCGCGCUCUGGCUCCAAUAGCUUAGCUCUGACUCUGGAUCUGGCGAUUUGGCUCUGGCUCUGACUCUAAUGACUUAGCUCUGACUCUGGAUCUGGCGACUUGGCUCUGGCUCUGACUUUAAUGACUUAGCUCUGGCAGCUUUGCUCUGGC
rnacentral:lncRNA from 1 species